AAUAAGAUUUUAAUUGAAUGCUAAAAGAAUGGAAAAUUAAAAAAAAACUUUUUUAAAAAUAAAAAUUAAAUUUUUUUUAAUUUGUGCAAAAACAAUUAUAUAUAUUAAAGACAAGAAGACCCUAAGAAUUUAUGAUUUUACAAUUAAAAAAUUUUUUUAAAAAAAAUCUUGAUUGGGGCGAUCAAAAAAUAUCAAUAACUUUUUAAAAAUUUAAGAUGAUCUAUUAUUAGUAAACUAAUGAAUUAAAUACUCUAGGGAUAACAGCGUAAUAAUUUUUGAUAGAUCUUAUUGACAAAAUAGUUUGCGACCUCGAUGUUGGAUUAGGAUUCUUUUUUAAUGAAGAAGUUAAAAAAAGAAGUUUGUUCAACUUUUAAAUUCCUACUUGAUCUG
rnacentral:rRNA from 1 species